rnacentral:lncRNA from 1 species
UAGAUUCUGACUAAAAAAUGACGAGAGUUGAGCAAAAAGUUUCUAUUGCAAUGAAUUGUUUACAUCGAUGUAUGGCACAGAAUGAAACCAUGUAAGUAAAAAGUUUCAUUACUUCAAUUUCUUUUGAAGUAGAAAAAUGUUUCCUUAGUCUAACUAGUGUUUCUUCUAACUCUGAACUGUACAGUGUCUAUCCUGGUUUACUACAACUAUACAAAAUUAUGUAACUAAAAAAAUGGGGACUGGUUUCCUUCUCACUUCCGCAAUCGAGAUGUGAGAUCGAUGAACAAAUCCUCGCUGCAGGGAAUAGUCACACCACCCAUUGGAUGGUCGAAGCCAAAUUCUUCCUCAGAUUGACUAAGCAAGUCUUGAAAUAAAGGUUGGCUCAAGAAUGAUAUCGGGAUCACAAAUCUCUUCUUCUGCAUCUCCCCAACAUACACAGCAAAAUGACCCUUGGGAAUAUCUCUAGUUGCAGAAGACUUCUUGAUCAUACGAAGAAUAGCCAUGAUCUCUUAGUUUUAGUAUAGGUGAGAAAAAAGGAAGGAUUGUAAGGUUACCAAAAAGCAGAGAAAGCUUUGAUGUUUGCUGAGUGUUGUGGUGGUAGAUACCUCAUUAGAUAUGUUUAUAUAGGAAAUGGCAACUCAUAUUGAUGUGUGUUGAAUAGGAAUGUGUGGGUACCAGCAGAAGACAAUGGCACUGUAGUAUCACAUGCUCUUGCCUUCCAAGUAUUGAAAACUAUGUGGUAUUAGUUAAACAACAAUAGGCCCCACCUUAUUUUGAAACAUGGAAAGAGCCAUUUGGAUUGGACAUCAGUACAAGACAAUGAUAUAUUAGCAAUCACAUGGUCCUGCCCUCCAGCUAGUUUGACAUGAUUAAUUACUUUGGCAUAUAUAAGUUCAAGUUCAAUCGGUCCUACAUAUAUUAUCCUAUAGGGAACAAAGGAUCUCUAAGAAUCAAAUCCACAUAUAUUGCUGGUAGCUUAUGAGGAUAUCUAGGAAUUAACCAUACCCCAGAUGCAAACUGUGUCUACUUAUAUAAAAAGGAUAAGAGAUAAAAAGUUGGCUUAUUAAAUUCCGAGCCAGUUGGUCAAAAUCAGAUGAUCAAAUAGAAACAGGGGGAAUAUUAUAUAUGCAAGAACAAUCCAUUGAUUAAUAGUUGGCUCCCUAAGUACGUUUGGUAACUACUGUGAAUAUUACCAUAACCAACAUACACAAAGUAACAAAUACACCUAAAAAAACCUUCUAAUCACAUAACCACCUUCUAGAAAGGGUGCAAUGAGAAAAUAGGCCUCCAAAAUAAAGCUAAUCAUAUCAUAUCAUAUAUUAUUAUAAAUGGGAAGCUCCAGAGUAGAAAAGUUGAAUUACAAUUUUACCCUUAUGCUAAAUUCAAAUGUUAUUAAAUAAAUAAUUAAUUAAAUAGUAAUAGUAGAAUUUCUAUAAUAUUUUUAUUUGAUUGGUAUACACAUGUGAGUAAAUUAAAUAGAACAAAAAUUAAAAAUAAGAGUUAUCCCUUUGAAUAGAUACAUGUAUGUGUUUCAUCUUCCAAAUUAAUUUAUAUUUUUAAUUAAUAUUUGUCUUUAAUUUGUAAUAAUACUUGAUCUUUCAAUUUUGUAAGUGAAUCUUCAUAUUCCAAAACUAUAUUUUUUCCCUAUAAAUACAAAUCUUUCUAUGAAAAUUUUCUAAUAGUAUUUUCAUAAAAAGAUUUAUACGUGAUAUAAUUUUUGUGUGUGGAAGACUAGAGAAGCUUUAAUCAAGUGAAGAAAAUUUCAAGGCAAAGAGAAUUUCUGUCAAGAUUACAAGACGUAAUGUGAUUAUAGGGAUGAAUAACACUUCAAUUACUAGAAUAUCGGAGUUUGAUGUAUUUGUUUUUUUAAUUUGCCGAGAUUAGAACUAUGAUAAGACCCCUCCAUUUAUGUAGUUGAAUGUCACUUUCGUUAAUUUCUCUUCCAAAACUUUUAACUUUUUUUUAUGGUCAAAGGUUGACUGUUUAUUACUAUAGUUUUUUUUUCAAUUUGCAAUAUCAAUAAAAAACAGGGAAAGGAAUGUCUUAAAAAUAGGGAAAGGAAUGUCUUCAAUUUACAUUAUCAAUUUGCAUUUUUGUUGGUAGCCUUAUGCUAAACUUGCUCCCAUAUUUGAUUUUUUUUUUUUUUGUAUUUGUACUUUUAUUUUAAGAAUAUAUUUGAUUGAAUGGUGUAUUUUCGUAUAAAUUUUUUAAUACUUAGUCAUAAUGAUUUUUCAUUACAGAUUUAGUAUAUUUGAAUUCUUUUAUAUAUUUUAUUCUUAGAUUACAGUUUUGUUUACACAGUACGUUUAAAUUUUAUAAAUUGUUUAAUAAAUUAAAUAUUAAUAUUAAAUAGUAAAUAGUAAAUCAUCAUAUUAGUAUACAUAACUUACCAUCAACUUGUAAAUGUAUGUGACUCUCACUAAUUAUAUUCAUUAUGUUCAUUACUCUCAUUUCUCAUCGAUAAUCUCAAAUGGAUUAAUAUUUAUUUAUGACAACUCUUUGUAUUUCUCAAUGUUAUCCAAUAAUAAAUAGUGACAUUUCACACAAUAAUAUAUAAACUUAAACCAAUUGGAAAAAAAUGAGAAAAUCUCGAUGCUCUCUUUUCUCGUCUCUUUUUAUUUAUUUAGUUUAACAUUUAUGUUUCUUGCUUGUUGUUAUUGUACAACGUACUUUCUAUUGUUGUGUUAUUAUUAUUGAUAAUUUACUAUGGCCUGUUGCUUUGUAUACAUUAGCUUAUCAUGUUGUAUUUUAAUAUCUUCAUUGGAAUAUUGAAUUUGUGUAAUAGUUAUUAUUACUUUAUGCACUUUCAGUCAAUUUUAUAAUUAAAGGUAUAAUAUUUUUACUAGGAAGAUAUAUGUAGUUUCUACCGAAACAAUAAUAAAUUUUACGAUACAAAAUUUAUAUGAAGUAUGUUGGGAUAAAUGUGCAACGCACGUUCCUAAAUCUAGUAUUAUUAUAAGCAUGAAGCUCAAAACUUAAAAGUUGAAUUACCAUUUUGCCCCUCUAAUAAAUUAAAACUUAUAUAAUUUAUAAUAAACAUUUUGCCCUUUUACUAAAUUAAGAUUUAGUUUAUAAUUUAAUUAAAUAUAAAUAUUUUAAUUACACAAUGAUAUAUAUAUAUCUAUUUAAUUUUCAUAAGUAUUUAAAGUUAGGAAGAAAGUUUAAAUUUAUUCAGUCAAUGACUUUUAAUUAGAAAAACAAUGAUAAGAUUCUAAAGUCUUUCUAUUACUCCUAUUUAUUCAUGCAUCACUUAAUUACUGAAGUUGAAAGGUUUUUUCAGUUUUAAAUUUUGAAGGCACUACUUAACUUACAUUAAUUACAAUGAAUAUUGUAAAUGAAAAGAUCACUCUUUUGAACUUUCAUAUGUUACUUCACUCUUUUUAAUUAACUUGAAUUAUUUUCAUCUUCCACAUAUUAUUGAAAUGUAUAGAUAUUUAAGACAUAGAGAAAGAAAAUAACAACAGAAAUCAAGAACACUCAAAAGCACAAGAAUUCAUAGUCUAACCCUUUUUUCGAAAAUUUUCUUGGUCUUCUCUAUUGCAUGAAUCUAUAUGAUGGCACAGUAUGGUUCUAAUACAUUUGAAAAUGCUAUGCUAACAUUUAGAUGAACUUACAAUAAAUCUAUUGAAAGAGUAAGUCACGAUUUAGAUUACAAUUUUUUCCUUGUUCUUCCCGUUUUAGUUUUGUUAACUAUGAUUCUUCCUUCUAUAUUAAAUGAUUUUUUGUUAUAUUUAGAUAAUAUGUUGAUAUAUUAAUAGAAAAAAAAAAGUAAGGUGGACUACAAUUUUGAGAUAUGUUGUUCAUAAAAAAAAUUAUAUUUCUUUGAUUAAUAGUCACUGUAUAAAAUUAAUUUCAUUGUAUAUGUUCUUUUUGGCUAUAUAUGAUACAAUCCUAAUGCAUAAAUUUUCUUUCUGAUAUGGUGUCUUCUCUUCAAUCUUUUGGUGUUAUAUUACACUGUUUGAUAAGUUUUCAUUGUAUUUGUCUAUUUUUUUUCCCUAUGAAGGUUGUUUUUGGUUGAAGGGUAAAAAAAUAUUUAAAUAAUAAAGUAUAAAAUUAGAUUAUCAUUUUAUUCUGUGUUAAAUUAAAAUAUUAUAAAAUAUUUAUUUAUAAAUAGUAAUCAUUCUACAUGCCACACUAAAUAUUAAAAAUAUUGGUUAUUAUGAGAUCAUUGAGUUAAAUCAAUAUAUAAAGACCAUAAUCAAUGCCCAGAUGCCCACUAAAGAUUUGCAUUGUUAUAUGAUUAAAGUCUUCAAAAGAAUGUGUAUGUUGUCGCAUGUUUUUUUCUUUGUUUAUUUUGUAUGUGUUUUCUCUCUAUGAACUUCUUUAAUUUGAUUUUCCAUAAAUUUCUUAUUGUUUUAAUUGUAUUUUUAAUUAGGCUAAAGUUAAUCUUUUGUGACUAUAUAUAAUGCAAAUUGGCUAAUUACUAUCUAAAGUUCUAAAUUUACAGUUGUUGAUAAAUUUUAUGCAUUAAAAUAAGAUUCCUCGUUUGAUGUUAUUGUGAUUAAACUUCUUUAAUUUGAUUUUCCAUAAAUUUUUGAUUGUUUUAAUUGUAUUUUUAUUUAGGCUAAAGUUAAUCUUUUGUUACUAUCUAAAGUUCUAAAUUUACAGUUUGUUGAUAAAUUUUAUACAUUAAAAUAAGAAUCCUCACCUGAUUUUUUUGUCAUAAUUUUAUAAUUUUAUUUGUAAUUGUUGGAUUUUGUUAUUCGUUACAUGCAUGUACAUGUAGAAUUCUAAUUGUUAUAAUGAAAAAUAAAAAAAAAAUUAACAUAGGAUACACGUGCAACGUACGUGUGCUGAAACUAGUUACAAAUAAGCCUUUGAAUCAAACUGCUACAACUGCGACCUUUUCUCCCUAUUUAUAAUAGAUCUAAUCUUUCCACGAUAUCCUUCUUAAUCUGUAACACAACUGUUCCAGUUUGAACAUUCAUGUGCUUGAAUGUAGUCCAGUUCCUAGCCUUCCAAGUAAAUAAUCUUGUUUGUUAUCUUUUACAAGUACAUUGGUUUCUUCAUAAACAAACAUAAAUAAGUUGGGAUCUUCCUCCAUAAAUAGCAUCCCAUCUCUAUAUCCCUAACACAACUAUUAGUACUUCUUUAGUAGCAUUAAGCUCUCAAAUUUCUUCAAGAAAACAUACAAAAAUGGCCAUCAGAAAAUCAAGCAACUUAAUCACAAACUGCAGUUUUCAAGCAAAUUAUGAAUAGGUAUUCAAAUUUGGGUAUGCUGAGAUUUAUAUUUGCUAAUGAGUCCAACCAACGACCCGACCCCUAAGAGAAACAAUCAUUUAAAGUAAAUAAAUUAUUAGGAAAAUUCAUGAGAAACCAAAAAUGGAUGAUAAUGCAAAGGACAAAAUAGACCUGAUCAGUUAUAUCAAGUACUGUGCUUGCCACAAUCGGAAUAAACUUAUUGUCAACCUGUUGGAGAACUUUGGCACCCUCCGGGAAGUUUUUAUUAAUGGUAUCAGGAACCAAUGAAUCGCCAAAAAAAUGCAAGACGCCAGAAGUGACACUCAGUACAAUAUACUGAUUAUUAAAAUUCUCAGUUCCAGCACUGUUCUGCAUCUCAACAGGAAAAGGUAAAGUUCAUCAUCUUAACAAAAUAGAGAAGAAGCAAAAACAUCCAAGAUAUAGCUAAGGUACUCAACUGUAAUCUUUGGAAGUCCCUCCAUUUUAUCCCAAAAAUCUAAGGAACUUUGAAUUUUUGUUGGUGCAAAUUCUGAAAAAUUGACUAAAGAAAAGGUCAGCCAUGACAAUAUUAUUACAAGAUCAGAACACAAGCAAGAUGGAAUUUGAAAGAGACUAUGUGGCAUAGGAGUCUUAGAAAGAGACAUUGUAAUCUCUAAUGCUUCCACGAUUAAUAAGAAUGCAGCCUAAGAUAAUCUUGAAAAGUGGGUGAAAGAAAUGAAGCUAAUUAACUGAAACAUGCACUAGGAAAAUUCAGCUCUUAUUCAGAUCACGAACAAGUGGCAGGAAUGGUUUACCUUCUUUUAACUCCCCAUCGCGUGUACAUGUGCACUCCCCUUGAGCUUGCAAUUUGCUAUUCCAGAUGUUAAUAAGUUCCCUUUUCACACUUGGCCUGAACAGAGAAACAUCAGGUCGUGUUCAUUACUGGCAUAUUUAAUUAAGAUAUAUCAGAAAGAGACCUAACAACCCUCCCAAGAAAUUGGAUAACGCUACCUUUCAUCAGAGAAGAAACCGUCACCACAACUUGGGGUGGAAGAUUGAUCACAUUGAUGGGAUGACUGCUGUGGAAGCUCUCAGCAGAUAGCUUCUGCAGAAUGAUGCAGUCUACUAACUGCUAUAGUUUCAGCACGAAUGAAAAGAACAUUAAUUAGUUGCACCUGUUCACUGUCAUCAAUGAUUAAUAACACAAACAAGCACUCAAGAACAAAUUACCAGGCAUGAGUGGCACAUCAUGAACAGUCUUAAUACUGUGAUUUCCUGCUGCCUUUCUUGUAGACUCACUCGUGGCAAAGAACUUAAUUCUUACCUUGGUAAAAUGGAGGAACUGAAUGAAUUCUUCUACCCUCCUUCUUCCUUAUAAGCUCAUCCGUUUUACCUCGAUUUCCAGCAUCGAUCCAUUUAUGUGAGUCCCUACCCACCCUAGAGAAGAGCAUAGGUCAUGGUAUCAACUAAUUCUUAAGAUUCUCUUCACAUCUCUUAUCCAUCAAUUUGGGCCUGCAUACCUUCACCGUGUAUACAUCGUGAUAGCUUGAAUGAACUAUCACUUGCAUUCAAUUUUUAAGGGAACUCAGAUGAAUCCCUAACCCACUGAACAAUAGUGGCAACAGAGAACGAGAAGCACGUAGACAAAACAGGUCAUCCUCACUGCAUGCAAAUAAAAAAAAAUCUAAGAAACCAUACAGGAAAUAUCCUCAAGUUAACUGGUUUAUCAAAUAUGGACCUUUCGAUAACAACAAUUUUGAAGAAGACACUGGGAUGCACAAGGGUGAUUCUCAGAAGAGACUCUUUGAGAGAAUGCAAGACCCUCUUUGUGCCUCGGACAGAGUACAGCUUAAGAAAUUAUGUAGAUCAUAUGUUUUACUUGUUUGAGUUUGAGGAAAACAAGAAGUACCUGGAGAGCAUUUGUUUCCUUAAAACUGAUUGGUUGUAAAAGCACUGGAAAUAGUUCCCGUGAAACUCCUCUUGCAUAUUAGCACUAGAUUAGGCAUAGGCAUUGCCAAAGAAGAAAAUAACCAUUAAAGUGGAAGAUUCACAUGACAUUGUAAACUCUUGAGCAUAAUAAACCACUAAAGCAAAAGAAUAUCAAUUACAUUGUUGAAUGUCAAUCAAGAAACAUCAAGAAGUCAAAUUCUAUAACAUAAAUCCCUAAAGAACACUUGAGACAAUUAAAAUACUAUAGGCAUCUUAAGAAAAUCUUGAAAUAGCAGUACGAAAAUCCAUCAAAAAAAGAAGAGAGGAAGCUUACUUUAAGAUGAGGGCAACACACACACACACUGAUCAUCAAAAAUAAAUAAUACCAUCCAAUCUUAUAGCAACAGGCAUUCAACUCAUAAUAUUUUUCAAUUUUUAUUUAUCCUUUCUAGAUUGCAACUUGAUAACGUAUCUAAAGUUAAUAAAAUAUACAUUAAUAAAAGGAAAAAUGUACACAAAUCUAAACUAAUCCAGUCAAAAAUUGUAUCACUAACCUGAUAUUUUUCGAACAUAUAAAGUUUUUACUUAAAUAAUAACAGCGGAACUUGAAAAAUAUAUAUUUAAACUAUUACGAUAACAUACUUAGUAUAGUCUCAUAAGUGGAAUCUAGAAAAGAUCUCAUGAUCAAUAUUAGUUUCAUAAAUCAAAUCUACAAUGGUUGGAUAUACGCAGAUCUUAUCCCAAAAAAAUUCAAUAUUAGUGAUUUAAAUACGCAAUCGAAUGGCAUUGGCAUAUUUGUGAAACUUGACAAUGACAUUGAGUAUAGUAAACUGGAGUCAACAAUGACAAAGAAAAUAACUAGAGCAAAAUAUACAAGCAUGUAGUGAAUAUAAGAUGGUUACUAAAAAUGUUAGGCACAUGACAAAGCAAUUGGAGAAUAUUAAUGCACUAUGCGUGUAUAUGUAGCUUUGUAUAGGCUACAUAUUGAAUAAUUUUGAAAUUGUGGAUAUGAUUAUAGGCUAAGUUGACAUUUGUAAAGGACAAUUUGCACAAAAUAUAGUGUCAAAACAUUAUAAGUUAGAACAUACUGAAAUUUAAUAUUUUUCUAAGUACAUGGACUAAAAAAUUACAAGGACUAAGGAAUCUUUGUAUUGUAACUCUAAUAAAACGGAUUAAACAUAAUCGGUAGAAUCUGUAAAGAGUCUGUAAAGAGGGCGAUGAUAUCAAAGCAAAACUCACCCUACCAUUACAAGAUAGAAUCUGUAGUUCACCGUACAAAUCCUGUGCCUUCAAAUAGAACCUCUAAUAAGAAUGAAAACAGAACUGCAUGAAGAAUGAUCCUGGAAGUCAAUAUGGAUUGGAUCGGGUAUCCAGAGGAAGACUUUGGAACUUGAAUAAAAACUCAACUUGGAAUUUAAAAUUCUGGGUUUACAAAAAGCCUUCCUUUAAGAACAAGGAAUCCCAACUAGCUUUGCACAUUUGAUAAUAAUACUUUAUAUACAAGAACUCACAAAAAAAAAUAAAAAUGAAAGAAAUAGACCGCUGAGAUCACAAGCUCAAGGCUCUUGCGGGAGCCUCGUCUAAUUCUUCUUUUGUUACUUCCUUCUUUUCCUGAAAUAAAUAGCCAACUUACUCAAGAAAUUUACACUUUGCAAUCCUUCUAGAGAGCAUGGAAAAUCUAGAGCAAAUAGUUCUUUGAUUCACACAUUUCUUGGCCAAGAUUUGGUAUGUUCAUACAAAUACAACUGACGAUCAUAAUAACGUUCCUGAUAGGAAACAAAAUACUUAUAUACAAAAAGAAAGAUCAUAUGUGUGAUGGAGGAGAUAGAUGACACAGUAAUGAUUUAGGUAAUUACACAUCUCAUUAUUUUGGUCCAGAAAAAAAUCAUAUUUAAUUUUCAAGUGUCUUUAGAUCUUCUAUUUUGAUUAUAGACAAAACAUAUAAUAUCAGCGCAAAUCAUUCACCUCUCAAAUGCACACUCAAUUGUUGAAGCAUCAAGGUGAAAGAGAAAUUUGAUUAUAAUGGGCAAAACAAGCUUCUUAACAGUUUACACUUCUAUAAUGAUACAACAUGAGUUUCUGGAGGUUCAAAUACCAGAGUUGGGUACUGGUGUGGGUAAUAUAAUGAUCAAUACUCACACAAUUCUCUCUCAUUGAAGUGAAGAGAGAAACAAGUUUUCCUUUGGAUGAUAAAAAAAGAGAGAGCAAACUGUUCGUAUCACUAAGUCGUCAAACAUAACCUAAAGGUGACUACACAUCGAAGGCAAAUUAUAAUAAAACUAGCCAAAUGGAACAUCUAAACAGCUUGAAUAAUAUUAGAUUAUUAAGGUCAAUCCUAGACAAGGAUUUCUAUAAUUGAUAGGGACUACUUCUGCAGAUACUCAGAUAUAUACUAUGACGGGUUGAUGGCAAGUUGUCUAAAAUGCUUAUCUAUGAAAAGAGACAGACCAUUGUCAUUGUUGACCCGUAAGAGGGGAAAUAUUCUCCAGCCCACUGCUACCACAAAGAACCUUUGCUCCACAUCCAACUGUAUCAGCUGUUCUAACUUCCGACAGCCUCUUCAUCAAACAAGAUCUAUAAAAUAAAAAAACCUACAACCAUUUUAGUAGGGUCAAUAAGAAGCUCCUAGUCCAAAUACAGGAAUAGCAAGAGUAUAAGAAACAACAAAUCAGAAAAAGUCGAAACAUUUCACAGCCAAUUCAUAAAUAUAACCGGCUGCAUCAUCAAGCUGCAGCAAUACUGAGCUGGAUAAUUCCCUUCAAGUUUCAAUAUCAAGUUAAAACCCCUCUUUGUUUAACUCAUUUAGCAAAUAAGAAGAUGCCAUGAAUCUGUAGUUGUUCCCUCUUUGUUUAACUUAUUUACCAAAUAAGAAGAUGCCAUGUAUCUGUAGUCCUUGUCCUUGCCUGUCAUCAGCAAAAUGGAGUCAAGUCAAGUCAAAUUGCACAAAUGGAUGGCGCAACAGAGGAGAGAUGGCUUGCAGCAUCAAAUAAUAAUUAAGAUUUUCUUCACUAUGAAAAGUAUACGUGACAAAUCAUCACCAUUAUAAUAGAAUCCAGAAGGACCUGAACUACUAAGUUCACCCGAUCAAGUCCCCCACACUAUAAAUAUCCUCCUUAGAACAAGCAUUAAAAUUGGGAUCAAAUUUUGCCGGAUUUGGGAACAAGCAGUCCUCUUUUCAAUAUUAUAUAUGGCAGGAAUUCCAAAAUCAUAUGUGAGAACAACUUCAUGUUUAACAGAAGUUUCUAUACCAUUUUCAGGCUUUAGCAAUGUUAAGGAUUAACAUCUUGAAACUUUGUCCCGAGCAAAGUAUCUGGUGAAAGAGGAGAUGGUUCUGGACCACAAAACGGCAGUCCAGAACCAUAAUUUUCAGUCUGUUUAAAGAGGUCCAUAAGAUGAUCGUCUUCAUCUAACAUGACCUUGGUUAAUGAAGAUUUUUCUGAAUCUCCUGAAAAAUUUUGACCUCAUUAGUCAUACUACGCCCAAAAUACACUCAAACAUUAGACUAAAGGCCAAAUACAAAGAAUCUGUAUAAUCAAAAAAACAAUCAUUUUCUUUGGAAAUAAAUGCAAAAGAAUCUGGUUAGCUACUGAAGUAUGUCCUUAAACAUGAAUGAUGUGAUAAAUAGUUUUCCAAAUUAAGUUAAAAGCUAUUUGAGUUUCAAGUCCUCAUAAUUCGAGAAGAGAGAACCUCUACCAUUAACUUGCUACUGAUGGUAUUAGAACAAGAAAAAUUCAUUCCUAAGAAGUAACAAUUCAUAAUUCACUUGCUAUAAUCAACCUAAUUAAAACAUACAAUGAACCUUAAGAGACAAUGCACACAAACGAAACUUGAAAUCCUUAGACCCUCAAAAAUCCUUCUUGCUGUCAACAAGAUGGAGCACAGAACUGACAAAAACUGUGCUAUUGAUACCUCAGAAUGAACUAACAACCCUGAGAAAAAGUGCUUGUCAUGCUUUGUUUUCCAUAUCUAGGCAGGCAUAUAAUCCUUCAGAGGAAGGAAUAUGAAUGUUGAAGAGAAUAAGAUAUAAGUAUUGUAAAAGGUCUGAGAAUGUAGGUGAGCAACCAAUCCUGUAUUAACAACUACAGUACCUUUCUCUUUCAAAGACUGAUUUGCAAAUGGUUCGCAUGUACUUGCACUUUUUGAAUGUAUCCCUAAAAGAAUCAAUCGUUAAAAAAAUGCAUUUAUAAGGAAUUCACAAGAACCAAAAAUGGCCAUCAUGGACUAUGCAGAGACCAGAACAGACCUGAUUAAUUAUAGGAAGUGUGGUGCCCGCCACAAUUGAAAUAAACUUCUUAUCAACCUGUUGGAGAACUUUGGCAGUUUUUAUCAAUGGUAUCAGGAACCAAUGAAUCACCAACAAAAUGCAAGACGCCAGAAGUGACAUUGAGCACAGUAUCUCAUACUGAAAAGGGCAAAAAAGUCCAGUUCUUAAGAUUCCUGUUCAAGUUCUGCUCUGCAUCACAUACUGAAAAGGGUAAAAGUCCAUCAUCUUAGAAGGAGAGAGAAGAAGUUGCAAAAACAUCUGAGAUAUAGCUAAGGUAACUCAACUGUAAUCUCUGGACGGAAGUCUCUCCAUUCUGUCCCACAAUUAAGAAACUUCGAGCUUUUGUGGUUCAAAUUCUGAAAUUUUGAAUAAAAAAUGUCAGUCAUGACUCAUGUCAAUUCUAUAAUAAGAUCAGUACAUAAGCAAGAUGGUUGAAAGAGACUAUGGGUCCUAGGGAACUUAAAAAGACACAUGGUGAUCUCUAAUGCUUUUAUGAUUGAAUGCAGUCUGGGAUAAUCUUGAAAAAAUGGGUGAAAGAAAUGACACUAAUUAACUGCAACAUGCACUAGAAAAAUUUAGCUCUUAUUCAGGUCAGGAACAAAUGGCAGGAAUUACCUUCUUUCGACUCCCCAUCGUGUGAAGUUGUGCACUCCCCUCAAGCUUGUACUUUAUUAUUCCAAAUGCUAACUAGUUUCAUUAGAAACACCAGGUCGUGUGGGUUACUAAAAUAUCUGAUUGAGAUAAUAUCAGAAAGAGAACUAACCCUUCCAAGAACGUUGAUAACAUGACCUUUCAUCAGAGAAUACACCGUCACCACAACUUGGGGUGGAGGAUUUACCAAAUUGAUGGAAUGACUGCUGUGGAAACUCCAAGCAGAUAGCUUCUGCAAAAUGAUGCAGUCUCCUUACAGCUCUAGUUUCUGCACGAUGGAAACGAACAUUAAUUAGUUGCCCACAUUUCCUGUCAUCAUUGAUCAUUAAUACAAACAAGCACUCAAGGACAAAUUACCUGGCAUGAGUGGCACAUAACGAACAGUCUUGAUACUUUUAUUUGCUGCUGCUGUUCUUGAAGACUAGCUUGUGGCAAAGAAUUUCUUGCCCGAGGAGCUGAAAUGACUUCUUCUACUCUUCUCCAUCAUUAUAAUCUCAUCUGUUUUACCUUGAUUUCCAGCAUGAAUCCAUUUAUGCGAGUCCCCAUCCCAUCCUAGAGGAGAGCAUAGCUUGUGGUAUCAAAAUAAUAAUUAAGAUUUUCUUCACUAUGAGAAUGUAUAUGUGACAAAUCAUCACCAUUAUAAUAGAAUUCAGAAGGAUCUGAACUAUUAACGUCACCCGAUCAAGUCCCCUACACUGUACAUAUCAUCUGUAGAACUAGCACUAAAAUUGAGAUCAAACUUCGCAAGUUUUAGGAACAAGCAGUCCUCUUUUCCAUAUUAUUUAUGGCAGGAAUUCCAAAAUUAUACGUGAUAACAACUUCAUAUUUAACAGAAGUUUCUAUACCAUUUUCAACAAUGUUUAGGAUUAACACCUUAAACUUGGUCCCGAUCUGAGCAAAGCAUCUGGUGACGGAGGAGAUGGUUCUGGACUACAAAACGGCAGGCCAGAUUCAUAUUUUUCCGUCUGUUUAAAAAGGUCCAUAAGAUGACCGUCUUCAACUAAAAUGACCUUGAUUAAUGAAGAUUUUAUCUCCUAACAAAGUUUGACCACAUUAGUUAGACUAACGCCCGCCCGAAAUACACAGAACCUGUAUUAUCAAGAAAACAACCAUUUUCUUGUGAAACACAUGCAAAAGAAUCUUGUUAGAUACUGGAGUAUUUCCUUAAACAUGAAUGAUGUUAUAAAUAGUUUUCCAAAUUCUGUUGGAAGCUAUUUGAGUUUCAAGUACUCAUAAUUCAAAAAAGAGAGAACCUCUACCAUUGACUUGUAUGGUAUUAGAACAAAAAAAGCUCCUCCCUUGGAAGUCACAAUUCAUAAUUCACUUGCUAUAAAUCAACCCAAUUUAAAACAUAAAAUGGCCCUUAGGAGACGAUGCACACAACGAAACUUGAAAGCCUUAAACCAUCAAAAAUCCUUCUUGCUGUCAACAAGAUGGAGCACAGAACUGAUAAAACCUGUGCUAUUGAUACCUCAGAAUGGACUAACUACCCUGAGAAAAAGUGCUGUCAUGUUUUGUCUUCCACAUUUAGACAGGCAUAUAUCCUUCAGUGGAACAUGAAUGUAGAAGGAAUAAGAUAUAAAGUAUUGUAAAAGGUCUGAGAAUGUAGGUGAACAACUAAUCCUAUAUUAACAACUACAAUACCUUUCUCUUUUAAAGACUGAUAUGCAAAUGGUUUACAUUUACUUAGAGAAUGUUACCGAAAGAAGAGUAACAGAUGUUGGCUGCUUGUGACUCAGAUUUAAGGUAACUGCUUUAACCAAAACAUACAACUUCAUGCUCAGAGUUAGGUUUAAAUUUGAUGAAUGUUGCAAAAUUCAGUGCAAUGGAAUUUCUGGUAAAUGACAAUUUUAUCAUGUUCCAUAGACACCCACAUAAGUCAUGAGGAUAUUAAUAAUGAACAAUUAAAUACCGCCAACCAAAUGAUGAAUUAGUUUUGUUGCGCUUAUUUUUUCUUAUGUGGCUAACUGACAGCUACAUAUUUAUGCAGAUGUUACUUUUUCUUACGCGGCCAAAUAAUGUUAUAUUAUUUAUGCAGAAGUCUAUGCUGAGAUUUAUAUUUGCUAAUGAGUCCAACCAAACAAUCCCUAAGAGGAACAAUUGCUUAAAGUAAGUGCAUUUUAAAGAAAUUUAUGAAAAACCAAGACUGAUCAUAUGGACUAUGCAAAGGCCAUAUAGACAUUAUCAGUCAUAAGUGUUGUGUUCCCACAAUCAGAAUAAACUUCUUAUCAACCUGUUGGGGGAACUUUGGCACCCUCCAGACAGUUUUUAUCAAUUGUAUCAGUAACCAAUGAAUCGCCAACAAAAUGCAAGACACCAGAAGUGACAUUGAGUAUAGUAUCCAGAUUCUUAGGAUUCUCUGUUCCAGAACCACUCUGCAUCUCAUACUCGAGGAGCGGCCCGUUGGUUCACCAAAGCCCGACCCAGUGUCGGACAUUCUCCAAAAGGUAAAGGUUCUAUCAUCUUGUCCAUAUAGUCAAGGUACUCAACUGUAGUCUUUGGACGGAAGUCCCUCCAUUUUGUCCCAGAAUCUAAGGAACUUUGAAUAAACAUAAGCAAGAUAUAAUUUGAAAGAGACUCUGUGGCCUAAGAGACUUAGAAAGAGACAUAAUCUGAAAUGCUUUAAUGAUUAAUAAGAAUGCAAUCUAAGAUAAUUUUGGAAAGUGGAUGAAAGAAAUGAAGCUCAUUAACUAAAACAUGCACAAGAAAAUUCAGCUCUUAUCAACAGUUUACCUUCUUUUAACUCCCCAUCGCGUGUACUUGUGCAAUCCACUUGAAUUUGUAAUAUUCUAUUCCAGAUGUUAACAAAUUUCAAUUUAACACUUGGCCUGAAGAGAAAAAUAUCAGGUCGUGUGAGUUACUAAAAUAUUUGAUUGAGAUAAUAUCAGAAAGAGACCCCACCCUCUCAAGAAAUUUGAUAGCAUUACCUUUCAUUAGAGAACACACCCUUACCACAUUUCGGGUGGAAGAUUGAGCACAUUGAUGGAAUGAGUGAGUGGAAGCUCCCAGCAGAUAGCUUCUGUAGAAUGAUGUAGUCCCCUUGCAGCUCUAGAUUCUGCACGAUGGAAAAGAACAUUAAUUAGUUGCUCAUAUUUUCUGUCAUAGUUGAUUAUUAACACAAAAAACGCACUCGAGGAGAAAUUACCUGGCAUAUAAGCACAUCAUGAACAAUUUAAAUAUUGUUAUUUCCUGCUGCCGUUCUUGAAGACUCACUUGUGGCAAAGAACUUCUUCUUGUCUUGGUAAAAUGGAGGAGCUGAAUGGCUUCUUCUACUCUUUCUUCUUCCUUAUAAGCUCAUCUAUUUUACCUCGAUUUCCAGCAUCAAUCCAUUUGUGCGAGUCCCCAUCCACCCUAGAAGAGAGCAUAGCUCGUGGUGGCAAAUAAUUUUAAGAUUCUCUUCAUCAUGAGAAAGCAUAUGUGUCAAAUCAUAUCUAUCAUAAUAGAAUUCAGAAGGACCUGAACUAUAAACAUCCCACGGAUCCAGUCCCCUAUACCGGCCAUGCCAGUUUGCCCAAUUACAAGUAAAACUGCAAAACAAAAAAAUUGAAGAACACCCGUAAAAAGAUACUAACAAACACAAACCGUCAAACAACCUAUCAGUUGAGGAACGCAUGCAGCCGUAUAGACUACGACAACCAUUCCAAGUUACGAACAUAAUCGUUGUCAGUCCAAUAUUUUGCAAAAUGAUUACCAUAUCAUUCUCUCCUCAGCAUCUGUCCAUCUCGUGAGACACCAGAUCCUUCAAAAGAAAGUACCAACUUCAGGUGAUGAAGCAAAAUAAUAAAUUGAGCAGAAUUUUAUACAUAUCUAAAUGCAUUUAGAUCAACGUCAAAGAAACUAAUAGAUACCAUUGUCAUCCACCUUAACAAUUCAGGUCCCAAUGUCAACAGCAACAGAUACCUGGUUGAAAAUGGAAACUGGGUUAAAGUUCAACUUAGGAGUACACAAAUUAUAAGAACAACGAACAUAAAAAGAGCAGUCCUACAAGGGGAGUAAAUCUCAUGGAGAAAACAAAGUGCUGUUAUAAGAAUAUUCAUUUGUUAAAAAAAAAUGCUUUGAUACUAGAAUCGAGCAUCAUACUAAGAGGAGAAGAAGAAUAUCAAUUUUCAUAUAAAGCAUAUCCCCUUGUAAUCAGAGGUAGCAAAAAUAGAAACAUACGAAUCCAUUGAAGAGCCUCACUGACAUUAACAAAAUCAGAAAACAUAAAAAACAUAAAACACGCCCACUCUCUUACAUGACACAAUUUACAACUUAUAAGAAACAAUUAAAAUCAGAAAGUCUAGAGCAUGUUUAUUUCAAAGAUGAAAAUAAGUCUAGACCAUGUAAAAGAAAAUGACCACUGAGGGUGUUCUGUCCAAUCGAGUGUCUUCAUUCAAAAUACUACAAAUCAUUUCUUAUAAUUAAACUACUUAUUUUUUAAGAAUUGUAACAGUGGAGCCUUCAACAAGAAAAACUCCACAUUUUCCCAUUCAAUGGCUUCAUAAUUCAGUUAUAAUUAAACCAAAAACAACAACAAGAGUAUCUAUCAUGAUUUAUGAUUUCAUGAUUCAAUUAUAUAAAAAGGUUCACCUCUAUGUGACUAUCACUUUUAUCUUUGACAAUGAAAGGAAGGCCAGCAUCUUCAAAUUGCUGCACCAUAUCAGGAUCCACCUACGUAGCACAGGAUAAGUUUUUAGCAUACGUCCCUUACUAAAGAAAAUCACAUCCUAUGGUCUACAUAUAAUUAUUAAACCAGUCCACCUAGAUGUGCAAUAGUUACACCACAGUUCCAAAUUUAAAGGAAAAAAAGUGUUGAACCUCAUAUAUAUGAUGGUGCCUCUCAUCUGCAAAGCUCCAAUUGCCAAAUCUGAGAAAAGAUAUAAUUAAGCCAGUUGGUAAUAUCAAUGGGAAAAAUCCUCCAGAAUGGCUUCACAAACUUAUCAACAAGCAUGCCCAAUGUAUGCAAAAGCAGUCUAUUAAGAAUUUCAAGAAACCAGAGAGAAAAGGCAAAGAACCAUAUCAUUUUAAAAAAUACUUGGUCAGAAAUCAAAAAGUCAAUAAACAAAAGUGUAGAAAGACGACUUAUCACAUCUCUUUAUCCAUCAAUUUGGGGCUCAGUGUAAACAUCGAAACCUUACAGUUAUCCUGAAAGUUAGAAUGCACCAACACUUACAUUCAAUUUGUUAAGGAAACUCAGAUGAAUUCCAAAUCCACUAGACAACAGCGGCAAGGAGAAGGAGAAGCACAUGUGCAAAGCAGGUCAUCCUCACUGCAUGCAAAUGAACAAAAUCUAAGGAACUAGAGAGGAAAUCCUUAAGUUAGAUGGCGUAUUGAAAACGAACCUUUCAAUAUCAACAAUUUUGAAGGAGACACUGCGAUGCGCAAGGGAGAUUCUUAGCAGAGACUCUAUCAGAGAAUGCAAGACCCUACUUGGACUUCAAGAUUAUACAUGCAGACCAAAAGAUCAAUCAGAUCAGAAUACAGUUUAGAAGUAAAGUAUGUAAAGCAAUAUCUUUUACUUGUUUGAUUUUGAGAAAACUAGAAGAACUUGGAAUGCAUUUGCUUCCUUUGAACUUCUAAGUUGUAAAAUACAUCACGAACAAUUACUGCAAAAAAAGAAACCCUAGAAAUCUCCUUUAAUAGCAGGCAGCAGUUAACUCAAUUAUCAAGUAGGCUUAUACAAAAUCACCUACUAUACCAACAUCUUGUCUAUAAUCACCAAUUCCAAGGUACAAAACACUUGCCAUCCGGUUAACAAUGGCCAGAUAAGACUUCAAGGACCAGGUUAGUAGUUCUAUACCUAUCCUAGUGUCAACUACUUACUAUAACUCAAAAGAAUUUUACCUUCAAAACCUUACAAUAUCUAUUAGGCCUCCCAUGAGAUUUGGUAACAAUUCCAGAAAAGAAAUAUCAGAAAUAGAGCUCAGAACCAACUAGUCACCACAAGAUAUUCUUGAGAAACACAUCAAAAUAGCUUCAUCAGAUUAACACAAUCAGUAUCAGUGGUGCCAACAAUGAGAGUUAAAUACUGCACAUAACUAUGCUGAAUUGAUUGCAUAUCUACCAUGGAACAAAAACGAACAAGUGACAUGUUUUUCUUUUUUUGUGGCUAUUAGUCAAACCAAUCCUAGUGUCAACUACUUACUAUAACUCAAAAGAAUUUUACCUUUAAAACCUUACAAUAUCUAUUAGGCCUCCGAUGAGAUUUGGUAACAAUUCCAGCAAAGAAAUAUGUAGAUAUGGUACAACAAAUUAGGGGCAGAAUUUGACCAGCCCUUUUAACAUAUAGCAUGUCGUUGAAGUCAAUAGGUUCCUAUCCAGUUCAUAGCAGAAUGUCUACAGAAUCAAACAAUGUAAUCAGUUGAAACAAAAUCCAGUAAUCCUAAAAAGUGCAACAGUUCUCAAGUUUGAUCUAGUCCAUGGUCUGCAGUCAAAAACUAACAGAAACCAGAUGCAGUCCUCUGGUUACUUGUGCUCCCACUUCAUCCACUUAUCAAAGAAAUAUAAGAAUUUUGUCACUUCCUCAGAGCCUAUUUUAGCUUUUCCCUAAUACCCUCGUUCUAAUUAAUGGUAUUUCGUAAAACUUUUGAAACAUUAGCGUAGGUGUUAAAUGUCAAAUGAAUUUUGUUACACCAAAAGAAUAGAAAAGAUACUAACUCAGUAACUCCAACAUGAAGGAGUUAAGUUGAUUCAACCUUCUGACAGAAAGGAUACAUAAAGAAGUACUAAAAUCAAAGUUAGGCUACAAUUUUCCGUUUUUUAGAAAUAAUCAAAAGUCAAAAAGUCCAGACCAUGUAAAGGAAAGGGGCGGUGAGGGGGUUUUAAGUCUACAAUUGAGUGUCUUCAUUCAAAAUACUACAAAUCACUAACUUACUUAUAAUUAAACUACUUUUUCUUUUAUUAAGUUGCGCAGUGGGGAGCCUUCAAGAACAACUUCACGUCUUUUUUCAAUUCCAAUUUUCCAAGAGGAAGCAGGGGACAUUAGGGCAAAACAAGUUCUUGAACAUCCUUAACAUGCAUUGACAGGAUGACAACAUAUCUUGCUUUUAAAAAAAGAUUCUUGAAUUUUCUUGAAAAAGCCAACAAAUUCUUAAAAUUUUCUUGAAUUCCAACAUGCAAAAUCGAGUUCUUUGGAAGAAUAUCAAGAUAAUGAGUAGAGUACCAAUGGAUAGAUAGAUCAAUUGAUUUAGGGUUAGGGUUUUGAUCGGACAUCGUCACUUGAACCAUCAAGAACACCAACAAGUUCAAUGAACUUUUCUAAAAAAUUAAACGCAAAAUAGAGUUGUUGAAUUCGAAUAUGCCGAAUGCCAAUGAAUCAUGAUAGAUUUGCCGAUAGCCGCCGGUAGCGUAAAAGUUCCGGCGGUCGAAGUAUUGAGUUCUAAAAUGGACACUAGGUUCUCUGUUUUAUAGUUUUAGAACCAGAUAAUACACGCGGCAGAAAAAUAGAACGCGGAAAAAUAACUACUUAAUAAAAAAUAUAUUACUUUUUUGUAAACUAUUUUAUUCUAGUAAUUAUUUUUUAUAUUAUUUGUAAUAGGAAGAAUUAUUCAUUGAAUGUGAAAUUUGUUCUCUCCCUUUCGUAUUAAGUUAAUAUUUUUAUUUUUUAAUUAAAUUCCCUUUGAUAUUAAGUUAAUAUUUUUAUUUUUUAAAUUUAUUUAAUUUUUAAGACUAUUUAAGAUAGUUAUUUCAAUUUUAUCCUUCAAUAAUUAAUAUUGAAAUUAGUGAUUAAUUAUUAUUUAGUUAUUUUAAUUAUAAAUUUGACAAUAAUUAAUGCCGUUUACUUCUCCUUUUUCUUAAGAAGAGAAAUUUAAGCUUCUUUCUAAUCGAAAAAAAAAACAAUUUUACUUUCAUUUAAAAGCAAUUUUAAAAAUUUGUCAAAUAUUUAAUUUUUCAAACAAAAAUAUUUUUUUCUAUAAAAAAAAAAACAUGUUGAGUAUCCCAACAACAAUGUCAAACACUAAGAGGCUCUUAGCCCAACCCAAUUUUUUGUUGUUUUCAUUUUUCUGCAAAUAAACUUCAAAAAUAAAUAAAAAUCUUGUCCAAUCAAAGUGUGUAGUAAUUUGUUUAUUGCCCUAAGUUUUUAAAUAAUCAAAAAGAUAUUAAUAAUGUUACUUCAAAUUUUUUAAAGUUCGAAAAAAGGAAGUUAAAAAAAAUGAUACACAUACCAAAUAUUAGCCUAAGUCAAAGUAGAAUCCACAAUGUUGAGUGUGUGAAACACGGCCAAAGAUAAUCUGUAAUACUUUGCAAAUGAACUAAAACAUUCAUAUUUUUAUAUAUUUCUGCAGCAGUAUAAUGUUAUGUUUUUUUUGUUGUAUUGAGGUCUUGAGGAUAACGUAGACUUUAGCUCUUGAGAAGCUCCAAUUCCCCUGUUAUAAAUAAAUGAAAUCAUGCAAAGAAAUUUCUGAAUUCUCAAAAAUCAGUUGGCGGUCUGAACAGCUAAAAAAGUGUGGUGUAUGUCUUUUUGAUAUCAGCUACUGAAAAAUUACAUUCAACAUUUGGGAGUAGGACAAAUAGCCCCCCUCUAUCUAAGUUUCAGUAAUGUGUAUUCAACUAUACAAACUACAAAGUUUAGUUAGUUCUUUACAAAAUUGUGUUAAGGAAAAGCAUCAGAAGCUACUCAAGCGAGAAGUAAGAUUAAUGAACACAUCCUCACUACACGGAAUUGUUACACCGCCCAUUGGAUGAUCAAAGUCAAAACUCUUCCUCGGCUUGACUAAGCAAGUCUUGGAAUAAAGGUUGUCUCAAGAAUGAAAUGGGGAUCAUAAAUCUCUUCUUUUGCUUCUCCCCAACAUAAACAGCAAAAUGGCCCUUUGGAACGUCUCCAAAUGUACAAGUCUUCUUGAUUAUACGGAUUUCCAUGGUUGUUUAGUUCAAUAUAGAUGAAGAAAUAAGGAUUGGAAGAAUUAGUAAGGAAAUCUGAAAGCAGAGAAAGGUUUGUAUCAUUUCAAGUUUUAGUGAGAGCUGUUAUGUGUUUAUAUAGGCUAAUCUCAAGUUGUAGAAUUCUACAGAUGUGCAUUGAAUAGACAUUAUGUGGGCACCAGCUAAAGACAGUAGCACCUGAAGUAUCACAUGGUAUUGCCUUCCAACUCAUUGCCAUAAUACUAUUAAUGCAAACUCUCAUGUGUCCACUUAUAUCAAAACUAUAACAAAAAACAAAAUCAAUCAUAUAGAAGAUUCAACUGGUAGAGAGGCAUUUUUUGUACUGUUGAUUGACUAUAGCACAUGGUUUUGCUACUCAACUCAUUGUCAUUGCUCUUCAAUAUCAGCAGUCCCUACACCCCAGUGUUUUUUAGGACAAGAGAGAGAACUGAAGAUUUUUAGAAAUCAAUUUGCUAACAUUGAGUCAUUGUCAACAGCAGGAUUUUAUGAGUUUGAUCAGAAUGAUAAUAACAGGUAAAAUUUACUACCAUCUGACCAUUUGCUAAGUCCCUCAAGCUAAGUCAUUAUGUAGGAUCAACUUUCCUGAUUAAAAUAAACCAACCCAUUUCAAUAGAUUUUUUCUAAAUAUUUCCAAAUAGUAGAGAAUACGAUAUAUUCUUUACUGGCUAUCUCUGUCCAUGUAUGCAAAUCUCCAUUAAAUUAUAAGUCAGUCAACACCUUAUUAUUGCUAGAAAUUCGAGUUCAUAUCCAAAAGUACAGAUACUAUUUCUUAUGAAGAGUUCCUAAAGUGUAAUUAUCAUUUUUACCAAUUGAAUGAGGUACGCCACUUAAGAGGACUAGAUUGUAGUUCUUUCUGAUUACCAAACCAUUACAGUUGAGCAAACAAUUUCUACUGCAAUAAAUUGAUUACAUCAAUGUAUGGAAGUAAAAAGUUUCAUUACUUCAAUUUCUUUUGAAGUAGAAAAAUGUAUACUAGUCUAGCUAUUGUUUCUUCCAACUCUCAACUGUACACAGUGGAGUUCCUGGCUUACUACAACUAUACAAAAUUGUGUGACGAAAAAAAAUGGUGACUAGUUUCCUUCUCACUUCCUCAAUCGAGAUGUGAGAUCCAUGAACAAAUCCUCACUGCAGGGAAUAGUAACACCGCCCAUUGGAUGUUCAAAGCCAAAUUCAUCCUCGGCUUGACUAAGCAAGUCUUGAAACAAAGGUUCGCUCAAGAAUGAUAUCGGAAUUACAAAUCUCUUUUUCUGCAUCUCUCCAACAUACACAGCAAAAUGGCCCUUGGGAAUAUCUCUAGUUGCGGAAGACCUCUUGAUCAUACGGAGAAUAGCCAUGAUCUCUUAGUUUUAGUAUAGAUGAGAAAAAAAGGACUGUUAAGGGAACUCAAAAGCAGAGAAAACUUUGAUGUUUACUGAGUGUUGUGGUGGUAGAUACCUCUUUGGAUAUGUUUAUAUAGGAAAUGGCAACUCAUAUUGAUGUGAAUCGAAUAGGAAUUUGUGGUCACCAGCAGAAGACAAUGGCACUCAAGUAUCACAUGCUCUUGCCUUCCAAGUAUUGAAUUGUGGUAUUAGUUGAAGAACAAUAGGCCCUACCUUUUCUGAAAACUUGGAAAGAAGCAUUAUUCAUUACAUAAUUUCUAAGAAGUGAUGAGAAGUCAUAAACCUCUUGAUAUGUGAUGAAGAGCCAUUUGGAUUGGGCUGCACAUGGUCAUGCCUUUCAACUAGUUGACAUGAUUGAUUCUUUUAGCAUAUAUAAGUUCAAGUAAAAUAGGUCCUACACAUUUAUUUCCAACAAAGGAUCUCUAAGAAUCAAAUCCAUAAAUAUUACUGGUAGCUUAUGAUGAUUUCUAGAAAUAAAACAUACCCCAGAUGCAAACUUUGUAUCCAAUUAUAUAAAAGAUAUACGAGAUAAGAAGUCAAAAAUAUGAAAGAUUUCACUGGUUGACACUGUUAGUUGACAAUAGCACAUGAAGUAUCACAUUGUCUUGUUCCCCAACUCAUUGUCUAAUAUACAUGAUCUUAGCGAUCAGAUUGGUAAAUUUACUGCUCUUGAAUAGCAGCAGACCCCAAUGUUUUGACAAGAUAGCGAACAUACAUCAAAUCGAUAAAUUUACUGCAAUAGCUGACAACUUGUAGGAUCAACACUCCCGAUUAGACUAACCUGUGUUAUUUCAAUAGAUUUUGGAAAGUGUUCUCAAAUAUUUGUGGGCUUUCAACAUGUCUGUGUUUGCAAAUCUCCAUAAAUUUAUGAGUCGGUCAAAACCUUACUAUAUAUUGGCAGAAAUUUGAGUCCAUCCAUAUUCGAGAAAAGUAUAAAUAUGGAAUACACAUUUUUAAGAGUUGAUCAAUUUACAUCCAGUUCUAUUGGAUUCAGUCGAACUGAGUACUUUCACAUUGCUGCAGAAUGGCAGAUCUAGUACAUGUUGAGUUAUACUUCAUUGUAUGAUGGACACUACCAUGUUUAUUUUAACUUCAUUUUGAACCACAAAGUAUAAUUCUUACCAAUGGAAUGAGUUGUGGCACUUUAGAAGACUGGAUUCUGACAAAAAACGAGGGUAGAGCAAAAAAAUUCUAUUGCAAUGAAUUGUUACAUCAAUAUAUGUAUAGAAUGAAACCAUGUAAGUAAAAAGUUUCAUUACUUCAAUUUCUUUUGAAGUAGAAAAAUGUGUCCUUAGUGUAACUAGUGUUUCUUCUAACUCUCAACUGUACACAGUUUCUAUCCUGACUUACUACAACUACACAAAAUUGUGUAAUUAAAAAAAUGGGGACUGGUUCCCUUCUCACUUCCGCAAUAUAGAUGUGAGAUUGAUGAACAAAUCUUCGCUGCAGGGAAUAGUCACACCACCCAUUGGAUGGUCGAAGCCAAAUUCUUCCUCAGAUUGACUAAGCAAGUCUUGAAAUAAAGGUUCGCUCAAGAAUGAUAUCGGGAUCACAAAUCUCUUUUUCUGCAUCUCCCCAACAUACACAGCAAAAUGGCCCUUGGGAAUAUCUCUGGUUGCGGAAGACUUCUUGAUCAUACGAAGAAUAGCCAUGAUCUCUAGUUUUAGUAUAGGUGAGAAAAAAAGAAGGAUUGUAAGGUUACCAAAAAGCACAGAAAGCUUUGAUGUUUGCUGAGUAUUGUGGUGGUAGAUACCUCUUUAGAUAUGUUUAUAUAGGAAAUGGCAACUCAUAUUGAUGUGUGUUGAAUAGGAAUGUGUGCAUACCAGCAGAAGACAAUGGCACUGUCGUAUCACAUGCUCUUGCCUUCCAAGUAUUGAAAACUUGUGGUGUUAGCUAAAUAACAAUAGGCCCUACCUUAUUUUGGAACUUGGGAAGAGCCAUUUGGAUUGGACAUCAGUAGAAGACAAUGAUAUAUUAGUAAUCACUUGGGCCUGCCUUCCAGCUAGUUGACAUGAUUAAUUGCUUUAGCAUAUAAGAUCAAGUUCAAUAGGUCCUACAUAUAUUUUCCUAUAGGGAACAAAGGAUCUCUAAGAAUCAAAUCCAUAAAUAUUGCUGGUAGCUUAUGAGGAUAUCUAGGAAUUAACCAUACCCCAUGCAAACUUUGUGUCCACUUGUAUAAAAAGGAUAAGAGAUAAAAGUUGGCUUAUUAAAAUUCAGAGCCAGUUAGUCAAAAUCAGAGAAUCAAAUAGAAACAGAGGGUUAUAUAUGCAAGAACAAUCCAUUGGUUAAAUAGUUGGCUCCCUAAGUACAUAAUCUUGUUUGCUAUCUUUUACAAAUACAUUGGUUUCUUCAUAAACAAAGAUAAAUAAGUUGGGAUCUUCCUCCAUAAAUAGCUUCCCAUCUCUACAUCCCAAACACAACCAUUAGUACUUUUUUAGUAGCAUUAAGCUCUCAAAUUUGUAUGCACCAGCUUGGAGGGAGUGUUUCAAUAGAAUAAGUAUUUCCUACUUAAAAUAGGAAUAGGAAUAAGAAUAGGAUUCCUAGUCAGAAAAGGACUCUAAUAUAGUGUCUAUAAAUAGGGUCUCAAUGUAAAAUUUAGAUACACAAUUCAAUAAUAUUUUUUCACCAUAUAUUUCUCACAAGGGUGACAACAAGACCAAGUUUUUCCACAGAUCAGCAAAUGCUCAUAGAAGAUAUAACAAUAUUGAUGAAUUUAUGGUGGAUGGGGAAGCAACCCAAAAACCAGAUGUUAUAAAGAAGGAGAUUGAGAGGUCUAUUAAAGAAUAUAUACUGAAACUGAGACAUGGAGGCCAGCUGGAGGAUGCAGGGCAGACCACAGAGCACAGAGUUUCUAUUGAAGACAAUCAUUCUAUGAAAGCUAGAUAUACAAAAGCUUAUGACCACCUCAAUAGGAUUUGGAGGUAGAUGGGUAAGAUGGAUGAAGUUCUGCAUAAGCACAGUCAAAUUCUCUGUCCUUAUCAAUCAAUGACUCCCCUACAGGUGAGCCUUCUACUCACAGAGAGGCCUAAGGCAAGGAGACCCAUUAUCUCCUUUUCAUCAUUGCCACGAGAUGUCUUAAUGAUAUGUUGAGAGUUGCUCAAGGAAUAGCUGGUUGAAGGGAUUCAAAGCUGCACACAGGGAAGGCUCAAACUUGGAGUUACUCAUUUGCUUUGCAGUAUGCUGAUGAUACAUUGAUCUUUUGUGAGGCUAAUAAGGACCAACUCAUGAUUCUCAAGGUCAUUUUUGUUAUUUUUGAAGCAGUCCCACGAUUACAUUCAACUGGAAUAAGAGCUUCAUAUAACCAGUUAAUGAGGUUCCUAACCUAACCUAAUUGGCUGGGGUCCUUGGUGGAAGUAUUGGGAAGCUACCAACUGUCUACUUGGGCAUGCCUCUGGGUGAUCAGAACAGGUCUAUAGAUAUAUGGAAUUGCGUGGUAAAGAAGUGCAAGAAGAGGUUGGUAAACUGGAAAAGUCAAUAUCUCUCCUUAGGAGGAAGACUAGCACUAAUCAAAAGUGUUUUGGACUCUAUGCCUACCUAUAUGAUGUCCCUCUUCCCUAUCCCUGAUGGGGUCAUUGAGAGAUUGGAUGUUCUAAGAAGAAACUUAGUGAAACCAAGAAGUUCCACUUGGUGAAAUGGGAUGCACUGAUUGGAAGUAAACAAAAAGGGGUGUGGGGGUAAGGAACUUAAAAACUCAGAACCAAUGUCUUAUGAUGAAAUGGCUCUGGAUAUUUGCUUCUAGGGAGUCAGCUCUCUGGAAAGAAGUUAUCCAGCUGAAGUAUGAAAUGGCAGAUCAUUGGACCACCAGAAUGGUCACCGAUACUUAUGGGAUCAACCUUUGGAGAUCCAUCAGAAACCUGUGGCCAAAGCUUAGAGAAAAUUGCAGCAUAAGAACAGAAGAUGGCAGGAAGGUACUUUUCUAGGAAUACAAGUGGUUACAUCAAGCCCCCCUAAGGGACACCUUCAAUGAUAUUUACACCCUAAACCAACAACAAAGGACCACUGUGGAUGAAGUCUGGUCAAAUCAGGGAUGGAAUUUGAGCUUUAGAAGACCUUUUAAUGACAAGGAGAUUUUGAGGUUAGUUGAGUUCUACAGCAAUUGGAGCAAUUCAAAGGAACCUCCACUGACCAAGAUAGAUUGGAGUGGGAGGGCCACAGUCAAGGUAAUUUCAGUAUGAAAGGGGCCUAUAAAAAAUUUAACCCCAAUAAUUAUCAGAUUGUGGGGGGCCUAGGAAGCUUAUAUGGAAAGUCAAAAUUCCUUAUAAAAUUUCCUGCUUCACUUGGCUUGUGGCCAAACAAGCUGUUUUAACCCAAGAAAACCUCAUGAAAAGGGGGAUACAUCUAAGUCCAAGGUGUUUUUUUGGGAAGAGAAGGCUGAGACUGUAACCCACCUUUUUAUACACUACAGGAUUACCCGUCAACUAUGGGAAAUAUUCCUAAGUAAGAAGGGCCUGAAUUGGGUAAUGCCAAGGAAAAUAGAUCAGACUUUGAAGAUCUGGAGCAGUUAUGCUAGCAUGUCAGACCAUAAGGAUAGGUGGAAAAUUGUACCAGCUUGAAUUUUGUGGGCUGCUUUGCGAUGAAAUUGAAGUGAUUAGUUUUGUUUCACUUUUGGUGUAAACAGGAGUAUAGGGAAUAUCUAGAAUCAAUUAAAGAUGCCUUAGGAUUAUUGUAAUUUUUUGUUAAAAGGGUUGAAGUUCUUCUAGAUACUCCCCUCCUCAACUGUAAUUAUGAAACCUGUAACUUGUCGUGGCAGGUUUCUGUUUUUGGGGAAAUAGAAUACAAGUCGUUACCUUCUCAAAAAAAAAAAGUAUAAACAUGGAGUACAUAUUAUUAAGAAUUAAUCAAUUUACAUCCAGUUCUAUUGGACUGAGUUUAACUCAGUACUUUCACAUUGCUGCAGAAUGGCAGAUCUAGUACAUCUUGAGUUACACUUCAUUGUAUGAUGGACACUACCAUGUGUGUUUUAACUUCAUUUUGACCACAAAGUAUAAUUCUUACCAACGGAAUGAGUUGUGGCACUUUAGAAGAGUUGUGGCACUUUAGAAGGCUAGAUUCUGACUAAAAAUCGAUGAGAGUUGAGCAAAAAGUUUCUAUUGCAAUGAAUUAUUUACAUCGAUGUAUGGCAUAGAAUGAAACCAUGUAAGUAAAAAGUUUCAUUACUUCAAUUUCUUUUGAAGUAGAAAAAUGUGUCCAUAGUCUAACUAGUGUUUCUUCAAAACUAUGAACUGUACAGUGUCUAUCCUGGCUUACUACAACUAUACAAAAUUGUGUAAUUAAAAAAAUGGGGACUGGUUUUCUUCUCACUUCCGCAAUCGAGAUGUGAGAUCGAUGAACAAAUCCUCACAGCAUGGAAUAGUCACACCACCCAUUGGAUGGUCGAAGCCAAAUUCUUCCUCAGAUUGACUAAGCAAGUCUUGAAAUAAAGGUUCGCUCAAGAAUGAUAUCGGGAUCACAAAUCUCUUUUUCUGCAUCUCCCCAACAUACACAGCAAAAUGACCCUUGGGAAUAUCUCUAGUUGCAGAAGACUUCUUGAUCAUACGAAGAAUAGCCAUGAUCACUUAGUUUUAGUAUAGGUGAAAAAAAAAAGAAGGAUUGUAAGGUUACCAAAAAGCAGAGAAAGCUUUGAUGUUUGCUGAGUGUUGUGGUGGUAGAUACCUCAUUAGAUAUGUUUAUAUAGGAAAUGGCAACUCAUGUAUAAUGUGUGGGUACCAGCAGAAGACAAUGGCACUGUAGUAUCAGAUGCUCUUGCCUUCCAAGUAUUGAAAACUAUGUGGUGUUAGUUAAAGAACAAUAGGCCCUACCUUAAUUUGAAACUUGGAAAGAGCCAUUUGGAUUGGACAUCAGUACAAGACAAUGAUAUAUUAGUAAUCACAUGGUCCUGCCCUCCAGCUAGUUGCAAUGAUUAAUUACUUUGGCAUAUAUAAGUUCAAGUUCAAUAUGUCCUACAUAUAUUUUCCUAUAGGGAACAAAUGAUCUCUAAG